rnacentral:rRNA from 1 species
GACGAACGCUGGCGGCGUGCUUAACACAUGCAAGUCGAACGGAAAGGCCCUGCUUGCAGGGUACUCGAGUGGCGAACGGGUGAGUAACACGUGGGUGAUCUGCCCUGCACUUCGGGAUAAGCCUGGUAAACUGGGUCUAAUACCGGAUAGGAGCCAUUUUUAUUGUGAUGGUUGGAAAGUUUUUUCGGUGUAGGAUGAGCUCGCGGCCUAUCAGCUUGUUGGUGGGGUAAUGGCCUACCAAGGCGGCGACGGGUAGCCGGCCUGAGAGGGUGGACGGCCACAGUGGGACUGAGAUACGGCCCAGACUCCGACGGGAGGCAGCAGGGGGGAAGAUUGCAGAAUGGGCGCAAGCCGGAUGCAGAGACGCCGCGUGGGGGAUGACGGCCUUAGGGUUGUAAACUCAUUUCGCUAGGGACGAAGCUUUUUGUGACGGUACCUAGAUAAGAAGCACCGGCUAACUACGUG